UGUAGAAAUACAUAGAUUAGUAGUUAUGGGUUAAUAAUUAAGACAGAGCUAGCCAAUAAGAAGCCCUAGCCAUUGGCCGACAGUUUUAUAAUUAACAUAGCAUCCAAAUAAAUGCUGAUAGUAAGCAAAGAGCAUACUAUCUGAGGCCACAAGUUCUGGCCAGGCUGGAAGUUUCUAAUUUGUGAUAACAUGCCUAAUCCAAUAAUAGUUCAUGCAAAAGCAUCGACUGUAAUUAUCUCAUCAUUUUUCUAGAAAUGAGUUUCUCAAUUUCAGCACAGAAAAUGACUCAUUAACCUAGUUCAGAAACUCCCCAUUUUCUGACAGGACUGAUAAAGCCUGACUCCUGUUUCUUUUCUUGGCUCGGGAUUAGAAACCAGUGUAUUUUCUGUUUGUUAACAGAGCUGGUUCUUGAGCCAUUUGCAAAUACCUACAGUUAAUUUUUCAAGGCCACAGAACCAAUAUUUAUAACUCCUAUGCUCUAGUGCCGCCUAGUGGUGACCAGCAAGAAUGGAAUACAGAUACUGGAGAUAAUGUGCUGAGCUACACUGAAAAUCUCAGCCCAGUUCUAGCAACUGCUGUGGUGAAUAUUGCAAAGCCAACUAGUUUCAGAAAUGCAUCUGUACCUAACUUCACCUCAUGGAACCACCUAUCUCCUAGAACCACCUUGCUUUAGUGGAAGUGAAUCUUCUACCCUUCAUCCCUUCAAAUGAAGAAGAGUUCUGAGAUGCACAAGGCUCCUGGAUGACCAUGGAGAGAUGGAAGUAGUUGGUGCACACUUUGAAGUACUUUUUUGAAGUUAGAAGAAGCCAAGCCUGCCGAGUUUCCUCCCCUUCUUCUUCUGAAGGAAUACACUGGGCCUGCUUAUCCCUGAAGCAUUCACUUCCAAAUAUAACUUUUGCAAAUGGAAGCAUAGAGAAAUCAAGUGGUCACACACGUCUGGCAUUUGACCCUUUGCUUGUCUCUUUAUUCUGUGCAUGGGCCCUUUUGCCAGUUUGUUUGCAACUGACAUCAUAGACUCACAGGUUGGGGGGUAGGGGCAAAGUUCAGACAUUCGGAGCCUGCACUGCCGCUAAGGGAAGGAAGGGUUUCCCAGCCUCACAGAUUCAAGUUGGCCACCAACAGAUAGAUCUCACUGCCCAGGACAGUGCAGUCUGCAGUUCACUUUAGCACAAAUAUCCUGGGUUAGAAACUCUCAACAUCCAGGAGACACUUCCUACCAAUAAACAUGGGUUUGCUGGCUCA